AUGGCUGUCAGGCUUCUCUGCUAUGUGGCCAUUUACCUUCUGGAGGCGGGCCUCCUGGAUGCUAGUGUCUCCCAGAUCCCGAGACACUAUGUUUCAGGGACAGGAAAGACGAUUGUUCUGGAAUGUUCUCAAACUAUGGGCUAUGAGAACAUGUACUGGUAUCGACAAGACCCAGGAAAGGCACUACAGCUGAUCCAUUAUUCAUAUGGUGUUAAUACCACAGAGAAAACAGAGUUCUCCUCUGGAUCAACUGUCUCUAGAAUAAGGAAGGAGCAUUUUCCCCUAACCCUGGAGUCUGCCAGCCCCUCAUAGACAUCUCUCUACCUCUGUGCCAUCAGCCUCAAGGAUGCUGUGGUCACACAGUUCCCAAGACAUAGGAUCUUGGGGACAGGAAAGGAAUUAACCCUACAGUGUUCUCAGGAUAUGAACUAUGUUUCAAUGUUCUGGUAUCGCCAAGACCCAGGGUUUGGACUGUGGCUGAUCUACUACUCAACUGGUACCAACACCUUUGAAAAAGGAGAUGUCCCUCAGGGGUAUCGUGUCUCUUGA